UACGGGGGGGGCAAGCGUUGUUCGGAAUUACUGGGCGUAAAGGGCUCGUAGGUGGCCAACUAAGUCAGACGUGAAAUCCCUCGGCUUAACCGGGGAACUGCGUCUGAUACUGGAUGGCUUGAGUUUGGGAGAGGGAUGCGGAAUUCCAGGUGUAGCGGUGAAAUGCGUAGAUAUCUGGAGGAAUACCGGUGGCGAAGGCGGCAUCCUGGACCGGCAUUGACGCUGAGGAGCGAAAGCUAGGGGAGCAAACGGG
rnacentral:rRNA from 1 species